AUCAUUACCGAGUGCGGCCCCUUCGGGGUGCCAACCUCCCACCCGUGUCUAUUAUACCACGUUGCUUCGGCGGGCCCGCCCCUGUGGGGGGCCGUCGGGGGGCAUCUGCCCCCGGGCGUGCGCCCGCCGGAGACCCCUGAACGAACUCUGUCCGAAGACUGUCGUCUGAGUGGGCUUUAGAAUUAGUUAAAACUUUCAACAACGGAUCUCUUGGUUCCGGCAUCGAUGAAGAACGCAGCGAACUGCGAUAAGUAAUGUGAAUUGCAGAAUUCAGUGAAUCAUCGAGUCUUUGAACGCACAUUGCGCCCCCUGGUAUUCCGGGGGGCAUGCCUGUCCGAGCGUCAUUGCUACCCUCAAGCGCGGCUUGUGUGUUGGGCCCCGUCCGCCCCUCUCCGGGGGGGGACGGGCCCGAAAGGCAGCGGCGGCACCGCGUCCGGUCCUCGAGCGUAUGGGGCUCUGUCACGCGCUCUGUGGGGCCGGCCGGUGCCAGGCCAUCGAACCCAUCAACCUCUCCAGGUUGACCUCGGAUCAGGUGGGGAUACCCGCUGAACUUAAGCAUAUCAAUAAGCGGAGGA
rnacentral:rRNA from 1 species